AUUGAACGCUGGCGGCAUGCCUUACACAUGCAAGUCGAACGGCAGCACGGGUGCUUGCACCUGGUGGCGAGUGGCGAACGGGUGAGUAAUACAUCGGAACGUACCUUAUCGUGGGGGAUAACGCAGCGAAAGCUGUGCUAAUACCGCAUACGCCCUGAGGGGGAAAGCGGGGGAUCGAAAGACCUCGCGCGAUUAGAGCGGCCGAUGCCUGAUUAGCUUGUUGGUGGAGUAAAAGCCCACCAAGGCGACGAUCAGUAGCUGGUCUGAGAGGACGAUCAGCCACACUGGGACUGAGACACGGCCCAGACUCCUACGGGAGGCAGCAGUGGGGAAUUUUGGACAAUGGGGGCAACCCUGAUCCAGCAAUGCCGCGUGAGUGAAGAAGGCCUUCGGGUUGUAAAGCUCUUUUGUCAGGGAAGAAACACCGGCUCUAACACAGUCCGGGAACGACGGUACCUGAAGAAUAAGCACCGGCUAACUACGUGCCAGCCGCCGCCGUAA
rnacentral:rRNA from 1 species